CGGGGAGUAGCGCAGCUUGGUUAGCGCACCUGCUUUGGGAGCAGGAGGCCGCGGGUUCGAAUCCCGCCUCCCCGA
rnacentral:tRNA from 1 species